rnacentral:rRNA from 1 species
AGAGGUGGCGAGCGUUGUUCGGAUUUACUGGGCGUAAAGGGUGUGUAGGUGGCUAUAUAAGUUAGAUGUGAAAGACCACAGCUCAACUGGGGAAUUGCAUCUAAUACUGUAUGGCUAGAGGAUUUGGGAAGUGAGCGGAAUUCUCGGUGUAGCGGUGAAAUGCGUAGGUAUCGAGAAGAACACCAGUGGCGCAGCCGGCUCACUAUCAUUCUCCUGACACUGAGGCACGAAAGCGUGGGGAGCGAACGGGAUUAGAUACCCCGGUAGUCCACGCUGUAAACGAUGAGAACUGGGUGUACAAGGCAUCGACCCCUUGUGUGCCGAAGCUAACGCAUUAAGUUCUCCGCCUGGGGAGUACAACCGCAAGGUUA